AGUGGGGAAUAUUGGACAAUGGACCAAAAGUCUGAUCCAGCAAUUCUGUGUGCACGAUGAAGGUUUUCGGAUCGUAAAGUGCUUUCAGCAGGGAAGAAAAAAAUGACGGUACCUGCAGAAGAAGCGACGGCUAAAUACGUGCCAGCAGCCGCGGUAAUACGUAUGUCGCAAGCGUUAUCCGGAAUUAUUGGGCGUAAAGCGCGUCUAGGCGGCCUUUUAAGUCUGAUGUGAAAAUGCGGGGCUCAACUCCGUAUUGCGUUGGAAACUGGAAGGCUAGAGUAUCAGAGAGGUGGGCGGAACUACAAGUGUAGAGGUGAAAUUCGUAGAUAUUUGUAGGAAUGCCGAUUGGGAAGCCAGCUCACUGGAUGAAUACUGACGCUGAAGCGCGAAAGCGUGGGGAGCAAA
rnacentral:rRNA from 1 species